UACUAUUACAUGGAUGGAACUGGACAAAAGGAAAUUAACAGGUUUUAUGUUGGGUCCGUGGGGCUUUAGUAAAACCGCUUUACGUCUUCACGCGGGAAUUGUGGGCCAGUUUGUGGUGGCCCCGCCAACACCGUUCUUUUCCCCUUUUUUUGACUCUUAUCCUGCUUAAGUUCUUUCAAGAUCACCUUCUAAAUGCUUAAGGCCCCACAUUUAUUCCACUUGAUUUUUAUCCAACCUCACUCGACUCCACGGUCGAGCUCGAAUCCACAGCCGAGCGGGGGGUAGACUAUUGUCGAUAAUCGGUAGACAGAUGUUGAGUGGGGCGAACCAAUAUUGAGUUGGGGCGAACCAAUGUUGAGCUAAGACAAAUUGUUGUCGAACGAGAGCAAACAAAUGUCAAAGCGAGGGCGGGGUGGAGUGCGACAAAAUGGGGUAGUUGUGAUUCUCAAAUCAUGCCUAUCCAUCUU
rnacentral:lncRNA from 1 species